rfam:Asticcacaulis benevestitus DSM 16100 = ATCC BAA-896 strain DSM 16100 contig00023, whole genome shotgun sequence.
UGCCCGGUAGCUCGUCAGGCUCAUAACCUGAAGGUCGUCAGUUCAAAUCUGGCCCCCGCAA